rnacentral:rRNA from 1 species
GAUGAACGCUGGCGGCGUGCCUAAUACAUGCAAGUCGAGCGAACAGACGAGGCACUUGCUCCUUUGACGUUAGCGGCGGACGGGUGAGUAACACGUGUAUACUCUACCUAUAAGACUGGGAUAACUUCGGGAAACCGGAGCUAAUACCGGAUAAUCUAUUGAACCGUAUGGUUCAAUAGUGAAAGACGGUUUUGCUGUCACUUAUAGAUGCAUCCGGGCCGCAUUAGCUAGUUGGUAGGGUAACGGCUUACCAAGGCAACGAUGCGUAGCCGACGUGAGAGGGUGGUAGGCCACCCUAGAACGGAGACGCGGACCAGACGCCUACGGUAGGCAGCAGUAGGGUAUCGUCCGCAGUGGUCGAAAGCCUGACGGAACAGCGCGGCGUGAGAGAUGAAGGUCUUCGGAUCGUAAAACUCGGUUAUGAGGGAAGAACAGAUGUGGAAGGAGCUAAGCACGUCGUGACGGUACCUAAUCAGAAAGCCACGGCUAACUACGUG